CAUCGGCUUCUCUCGGCAGAACCGGAGGUGUGUCCCGUGUGCCAGCGGGCGUAUGAAGUUCCUACACAAAGGCUUGGUACACUCCUAUCCGUGGAGCAGCUGUGACCCCAUCGUCAGUUCUCAAGACCGUGGAAUAGCCAGCCUAUUGUGGGAAGCACUCCAGCCGGGAACCUACAGCUUUCCACAGCAGUGUACGUCAGUGGAGCAUCGUUCUUCAAACUAGAAAAGGUCUGCAGCUCUUCCUGAGGCAUGCCAGAAUGUUCAUCGAGCCAGCUAUCGUGAACAAGUGGACAACAUCCCAGGGAGCGAUGCUACAGCAGCUCAGUGGAGAGGACAGAGUCAUAGUUGGUGGUCUCUCCAGAGCAAUGAGGUUGGUGGAAGUGUCCACAUGGAAAAAGAAGGUCUGAAGAGAAGUGUGGCAUUGUUGGAGGAAAGUGGUGUGACUCCCGACUACAUGGUCACAGACCGUCAUCCACAGAUGCAGUAAUUCCUAAGGACACUAACGAAACCGAGGAAACGAGAGAGAGAGAUACUCUACCUGGCCGCCCUGUAUUACAACGAAAAUGCUUGCCGCUCACAAGCAACAUCAUCGGCUGGUCACCCGCUCGCCCACAGGCCAGAGAGGGAGAACGCAGAGCAGCACAAGUGAAGACUGCCCCGACGUUCUGGUAUGUCGACGACUUGAUGGACCUCGUCUUUGACAAAGUCUUGGUGGACCCGGCACCGUACACGGAUGAGGUAUUGAAGAUCCCCAUCCCAGAGGACCUUUGUGCACAGUAGGAGAGGCCGGACAAGCAGGAGGUCAUCAACGCCUAUGUGUCCCGGUUCAAUCAAGAGGCGGUCUGAACCCUAUGUAGUGUCCUCGGGCAUCAGGAAACUCCCUGUGAAUCCGAAGUGCUCCACGGGCUGAGAUGGCGACUCCGAUCCUCCCAGCACCAGCUCACAAAGAAAGCUCCUAGAGGCUAGAUACCUGUAACGACGAAGAAUUGAACAAUAUAUUUAGUCAACAGCUUCUAUCGAUCUAUGGUGGGUCUCAACCAAAUAUUAUGUUAUAUGGGUUCAAUGAAUCCCUUUUUUAUCAUCACAAAAGUGACUUUAAUAUAUGUUGUGACAACACAGUGCACAUAGUAUAUUUUUUAGAUUUUAUUACUGCGUAGUUCAACUGUUGUUUGGCUUUACAGUAUCUGUAAAAAUGUGUCAUGUGAGUUCAUGUUUAAUAUGUAAAGUAUCUGCUAAUGUGAAACAGCACGAUGUAACAAAAACAAUCUGAUGUUGGGGCGAUAUUAUGAGGUGUAUAAUGCCGGUAACGGUGUGUUGUGAACAUUAUGUCAGGUCCACUGAUGUAAUGGAAAGGAACUCUGCAUAAAGUCUUGUAUACAAGUAUUUAUUUUUCAU